GACGAACGCUGGCGGCGUGCUUAACACAUGCAAGUCGAACGGAAAGGCCCUGCUUUUGUGGGGUGCUCGAGUGGCGAACGGGUGAGUAACACGUGAGUAACCUGCCCUUGACUUUGGGAUAACUUCAGGAAACUGGGGCUAAUACCGGAUAGGAGCUCCUGCUGCAUGGUGGGGGUUGGAAAGUUUCGGCGGUUGGGGAUGGACUCGCGGCUUAUCAGCUUGUUGGUGGGGUAGUGGCUUACCAAGGCUUUGACGGGUAGCCGGCCCGAGAGGGUGACCGGCCACAUUGGGACUGAGAUACGGCCCAGACUCCUACGGGAGGCAGCAGUGGGGAAUAUUGCACAAUGGGCGGAAGCCCGAUGCAGCAACGCCGCGUGCGGGAUGACGGCCUUCGGGUUGUAAACCGCUUUCGCCUGUGACGAAGCGUGAGUGACGGUAAUGGGUAAAGAAGCACCGGCUAACUACGUG
rnacentral:rRNA from 1 species